rnacentral:lncRNA from 1 species
GCCAGGGGGCGUCGCGGGGGUCUGCCCAGGCCACCCGCCCUCCGGGCCGCGGCGCGGACUGACCGACGGACGGCGCUGCGUGCCCAAGUCGCCCGGCCAUGUUCAGCCGGAGCUCCCGGAAAAGACUCUCCAGCCGCUCGGUGAGUGUCCUCCACCCGAGCGGGGCCGGCCUCCGGGGACCCGCAGUCGGCCGCGAGCGCCCCUGCCCGGCUCCCCUCCGCCCCGCGGCCGCGCACCUGUGGCCCCAGUUGACCGGACUGGGGCGGAUAGAGCGAGGCCAGCCCUGUAACGUCUGUGGUGACCAGUGCCCCGGGUUCGCCUUGCACAGAUGGAGGUAGGACGCCUUAAACCCGAUCCCUA